rnacentral:other from 1 species
GACACCCUGCGAUGUUUGUGUAAAAGCCGAUAUGUUUUGAUCCAACACCGUUUCAUGCGGCAUCUUGCUCCGUCUGCAGCCCAUACGCCUCCAUUUGCUAGAGGACAUGGAAAACAGAUGGGAAGAAGCCAUACCUGCCAGAGCAGGUUCAAAACAACGGCUUUCACGGCAAAGUGGGGUUUUU